rnacentral:rRNA from 1 species
UACGUAGGGGGCAAGCGUUGUCCGGAAUGACUGGGCGUAAAGGGAGUGUAGGUGGCAUAGCAAGUUAUAUGUGAAAGCCCGCAGCUUAACUGCGGAACUGCAUAUAAAACUGUUAAGCUUGAGUGCAGGAGAGGUAAGCGGAAUUCCUAGUGUAGCGGUGGAAUGCGUAGAUAUUAGGAAGAACACCAGAGGCGAAGGCGGCUUACUGGACUGUAACUGACACUGAGGCUCGAAAGCGUGGGGAGCAAACAGG